rnacentral:rRNA from 1 species
CACGUAGGGCGCAAGCGUUUGUCCGGAAUUAUUGGGCGUAAAGAGCUCGUAGGUGGUUCGGUAAGUCGGAUGUGAAAUCUCCAGGCUCAACCUGGAGGGGUCAUUCGAUACUGCCGUGACUAGAGGUCGGUAGGGGAGUGUGGAAUUCCUGGUGGAGCGGUGAAAUGCGCAGAUAUCAGGAGGAACACCCGUAGCGAAGGCGGCACUCUGGGCCGAUACUGACACUGAGGAGCGAAAGCGUGGGGAGCGAACAGG